rnacentral:rRNA from 1 species
GCUCAGGAUGAACGCUAGCUACAGGCUUAACACAUGCAAGUCGAGGGGCAGCAUUUUAGUUUGCUUGCAAACUGAAGAUGGCGACCGGCGCACGGGUGAGUAACACGUAUCCAACCUGCCGAUAACUCCGGAAUAGCCUUUCGAAAGAAAGAUUAAUACCGGAUAGCAUACGAAUAUCGCAUGAUAUUUUUAUUAAAGAAUUUCGGUUAUCGAUGGGGAUGCGUUCCAUUAGUUUGUUGGCGGGGUAACGGCCCACCAAGACUACGAUGGAUAGGGGUUCUGAGAGGAAGGUCCCCCACAUUGGAACUGAGACACGGUCCAAACUCCUACGGGAGGCAGCAGUGAGGAAUAUUGGUCAAUGGACGAGAGUCUGAACCAGCCAAGUAGCGUGAAGGAUGACUGCCCUAUGGGUUGUAAACUUCUUUUAUACGGGAAUAAAGUGAGGCACGUGUGCCUUUUUGUAUGUACCGUAUGAAUAAGGAUCGGCUAACUCCGUGCCAGCAGCCGCGGUAAUACGGAGGAUCCGAGCGUUAUCCGGAUUUAUUGGGUUUAAAGGGAGCGUAGGCGGAUUGUUAAGUCAGUUGUGAAAGUUUGCGGCUCAACCGUAAAAUUGCAGUUGAUACUGGCAGUCUUGAGUGCAGUAGAGGUGGGCGGAAUUCGUGGUGUAGCGGUGAAAUGCUUAGAUAUCACGAAGAACUCCGAUUGCGAAGGCAGCUCACUGGAGUGUAACUGACGCUGAUGCUCGAAAGUGUGGGUAUCAAACAGGAUUAGAUACCCUGGUAGUCCACACAGUAAACGAUGAAUACUCGCUGUUUGCGAUAUACAGUAAGCGGCCAAGCGAAAGCAUUAAGUAUUCCACCUGGGGAGUACGCCGGCAACGGUGAAACUCAAAGGAAUUGACGGGGGCCCG